rnacentral:rRNA from 1 species
UUCAUAGAGUGUAAAGGCAUAAGGGAGCUUGACUGCGAGACCUACAAGUCGAGCAGGGUCGAAAGACGGACUUAGUGAUCCGGUGGUUCCGCAUGGAAGGGCCAUCGCUCAACGGAUAAAAGCUACCCCGGGGAUAACAGGCUUAUCUCCCCCAAGAGUUCACAUCGACGGGGAGGUUUGGCACCUCGAUGUCGGCUCAUCGCAUCCUGGGGCUGUAGUCGGUCCCAAGGGUUGGGCUGUUCGCCCAUUAAAGCGGUACGCGAGCUGGGUUCAGAACGUCGUGAGACAGUUCGGUCCCUAUCCGUCGUGGGCGUAGGAAAUUUGAGAGGAGCUGUCCUUAGUACGAGAGGACCGGGAUGGACAUACCUCUGGUGUACCAGUUGUCGUGCCAACGGCAUAGCUGGGUAGCUAUGUGUGGACGGGA